UCUUGUAUCAAACUUGCGUUGUAUCCUUGUGGCUUUUUCUUUGCUUUACUUGGUAUCUUGUAUAUGGCUAGUUUCUCUGUUAUCUAAAUUUCUAGUAGCCAUUGGGGUGGUUAGUCAAGAAACAAAUUCUAUGGUACUCACCACUACUUCUAUUGCGCCUCUUUAUGUCUUCUUUCCUGUUUUCUUCUUCUGGAAGAUGUCUAGUGCUGUUGCUAAGCAAUUUUUCUUGGUUGUUUGAUUCUGUGCCUAAAUAUACAAACUUGUUAGCUGUCAGAGUUCCCUGUGACAUGGGAAUUUCAAUAGUUGGACUGCUCAAUUACAUUUGUUCCUUCAGUACUGUUUUGUUGGAGAACUAUAAGUAACAGGUUCUUAAUUACCUGAUAAAGCUCUUUCUUCUAGUUCACUUGUUUCCAUACUUGUAAUUCUUGACCACAUAUUUAGGCAUAUCUCGGAACUUCAGAAAUG
rnacentral:misc_RNA from 1 species